GUUCGGAUUGCAGGCUGCAACUCGCCUGUAUGAAGUCAGAAUUGCUAGUAAUCGCGGAUCAGCAUGCCGCGGUGAAUACGUUCCCGGGCCUUGUACACACCGCCCGUCACACCAUGAGAGCCGGGAACACCCGAAGUCCGUAGUCUAACCGCAAGGAGGACGCGGCCGAAGGUGGGUUUGGUAAUUGGGGUGAAGUCGUAACAAGGUAAC
rnacentral:rRNA from 1 species